UACGUAGGGGGCAAGCGUUGUCCGGAUUUAUUGGGCGUAAAGAGCGUGUAGGCGGCCAGGUAGGUCCGCUGUGAAAACUCGAGGCUCAACCUCGAGAUGUCGGCGGAAACCAUCUGGCUAGAGUCCGGAAGAGGAAGGUGGAAUUCCCGGUGUAGCGGUGAAAUGCGCAGAUAUCGGGAAGAACACCCGUGGCGAAGGCGGCUUUCUGGGACGGUACUGACGCUGAGACGCGAAAGCGUGGGGAGCGAACAGG
rnacentral:rRNA from 1 species